GCCCAGGUGGCGAAAUUGGUAGACGCAGGGGACUUAAAAUCCCCCGGUGGCAACACCGUGACGGUUCGAGUCCGUCCCUGGGCACCA
rnacentral:tRNA from 1 species